rnacentral:tRNA from 1 species
GCAGUUGGUCGGCGAUCGGUCACAACCGUCGGACUUCUAAUCCGACGGUCGGGGGUUCGAAUCCCUCCCGGCGCA